UCUUGAGAAAAAUGUGGAGUGUCUAUAAAAUCUGUCCACUCCCAGCUCGAGCUAUCCUCGUCAUAACCAAUGCUAAAAGGCAUAUGGCUAACUUGUUGGGUAGUUUCUUUGUUUAGCUUCUCCGUCUUUAUUUUACCCUUUUUAUUUUUAUUAUUUUCAAUAUUCUCCGGACUUUUUUCAUUAUUCAUAGCAGAGUCUUUUCGAUCUUCACCUAUUCCCAGAGGGACCUCUUCCUCUAUCGGGAAUUUCAACAGAAGCGCUUCAUUUGCUGAUCUGACUUUUGUCAAUCGAUCAACAUGUACGACUUGUCUCCUUCGAG
rnacentral:lncRNA from 1 species